GUACGUUCACGUUGUUGUGCAAGCAUCACCAUUAUCUGUCUCCAGAACUUUUCAUUCUCCCAAACUGAAACUCUGUACCCAUUAAACAAUUAUUUCCCA